ACAUCACAUUGGUGCUAAUUUCUAGCACGGUUUAAUGUCUCCACAAGUUGUUUAAUGGCUGCCAUAGCAUGCGUUGUUGGAUUACAUUAUGGGCACAUUCUUGUUCAUGUCAAGAAGUUACAGAAGGCUAAAGUUACCCAAAAUGUAUACAAUCUCUGC